rnacentral:lncRNA from 1 species
CCAGGACUAUGUAUCGCCGACCCUUUCAUUUAUAUAUGCACAUGCGGAAGCAGUCAUAAAAUCCCCAAACAAUAAAGCAAUGAGAUAUACAAGUAGGACUAGGAAAUUGAACCUGAAAACCAACACCCUUAUGCUCAUAUACAAGCCAUACUAAAUCGAUUGGUUUCUACUCAAAUUGAUUUUAUAACAAUCGUCAUCAGAAUCCUACUCCGGAU